AUGAGCAGGAUGUUGGGCCAGCUAGGCCUAAUGCUAUUGGCCAUGGAGAAGAGAUUCCGGAACAAGCCAUAGAAGUUUCAAAUGUUUUUCAGGGGAUGAUUCCACCAAAUACCAUAGAGAACAAUGAUGCUUCGGUAAUACUGACCAUUGAUCCUCAAGUCGAUCAAUAUCAGGGGCCACAAGAAUUGGAGGUUGGUACUUCGUCUGUUUGGCUGGAAGAUAUUGGGCAUGUGGAGGAGCGUUCUGAAGUAAAAGUUGUGGAAAUUUGUGAUACCUUACAAUACAAUGAAAACAUUUGAUAUCCUUCCGAAAUUUUCAGAUGUGUUUAUUUUUAUCUCUAACUUUACUUGAUCUUUUUUAUGAACUGUUAUAUCUAUUGUUUCAAAGACUUUGAAUAGUCCUUAAUUAAUUCACUUAAAAAAAAAAGGAAAAUACAUUAAACAAAAUAAAAAGGUGGUCAACUGUAUGUUGGGGAUUAGGGAGAAAUAUAGCACUUUCAGAAAAAGAGAGAAAGCGAAAUCCAUAGGGAGGAGAAGCUUCCGGAAGAUAUAAAGAGAUCUCCGGCAGCCAAGAAACUUGAAGGAGGAGGAAGAACAUUGACAACAAUCUUGCGCUCGCAAGAAUUUCAGGU